GCGCGGCGGCGGAAGGGGUCGGGGGCGCGGCGGCGGAAGGGGUCGGGGGCGGAUCUGAGGGGCGGCGGAGCGGAUGAGUCCCCGGCGGUGGAUCUCAGGGACGGUGGCGGUUGAGGACGUCAGGGCGCGGCGGCGGACGUCACGGGCGCGGCGGACGUCACGGCCGGAGGUGGAUCUGAAGGGCGGCGACGGUCAGGGGCGGCGGAGGGCUGGGCAUCCCGAUUUUCAGGGGCGGCGGCGGCG
rnacentral:lncRNA from 1 species